CAAAGACAGAUGAAAAACCAUUCAACUGAUACAGAACUCUGGACUUAGGAAGAUCACAGGGAAACUGUCACAAGUAUUGAAAUUGGAGGUUAAUAUAGGCACGGUCUCAAUAUUCACGUAUUAAAACUAGGUCACAGAGAAUGACUUGAUUAAGAUGACAGUCACCGGUGCAAUGAGGAGUAGAAUCAGUUGCAGUUUCACACCUGUCAGAAUUUCAGAAAAGUAGAAGGUACCAGUCAUGUCAUGUCAGAAGAGCUCCCCUUCCUCCUCC